UGCAGUCGAGCGCACCUUCGGGUGAGCGGCGGACGGGUUAGUAACGCGUGGGAAUAUACCCAGAUCUACGGAAUAGCCUCGGGAAACUGAGAGUAAUACCGUAUACGCCCUUCGGGGGAAAGAUUUAUCGGAUUUGGAUUAGCCCGCGUUAGAUUAGAUAGUUGGUGGGGUAAUGGCCUACCAAGUCUACGAUCUAUAGCUGGUUUUAGAGGAUGAUCAGCAACACUGGGACUGAGACACGGCCCAGACUCCUACGGGAGGCAGCAGUGGGGAAUCUUAGACAAUGGGCGAAAGCCUGAUCUAGCCAUGCCGCGUGUGUGAUGAAGGCCCUAGGGUCGUAAAGCACUUUCGCCAGAGAUGAUAAUGACAGUAUCUGGUAAAGAAACCCCGGCUAACUCCGUGCCAGCAGCCGCGGUAAUACGGAGGGGGUUAGCGUUGUUCGGAAUUACUGGGCGUAAAGCGUACGUAGGCGGAUUAGUAAGUUAGGGGUGAAAUCCCGAGGCUCAACCUCGGAACUGCCUCUAAAACUGCUAGUCUUGAGUUCGAGAGAGGUGAGUGGAAUUCCGAGUGUAGAGGUGAAAUUCGUAGAUAUUCGGAGGAACACCAGUGGCGAAGGCGGCUCACUGGCUC
rnacentral:rRNA from 1 species